UUACGACUGAUCCAACUUUUCGGAACGU
rnacentral:piRNA from 1 species